rnacentral:lncRNA from 1 species
GGUUCUGUUGGGAAUAGUGUCCCUAAGCCAAUCAUCAGCCUGUUGAUGAUUGUGCUUUUUCUUGUAUUAGUAUAUGAAUUAUAAAUAAAUAAAAAUUAUUUUGGUAUUUUUCAUCAUAAAUUUUUUUAUCUUCUAAUGAACUCUUGUGUUGUGGUGAAGUCCUUAGGACUAUUUAGACUCGACAAAGGAGGAUUUGUCAUUUAGUCCUUAAGCCUGUUCGCGAUCAAAUGAUACAUUGUUACCAGGGACAAAAAUAUUUAUCAAGUAUAGGUCGUUGUGUGCCAUAUGGGUUGGUUGUCCUCUUAACCAAGGAGUGUGGAUAUACUGAUAUGGCAUACAGGUGAGAUGUAAGGGUACAUCUGCACUGAAUGUGACCGACUCUGGAGCUUUUUCUGCUGUCAAAAUUUGCUCUGAUGGGAUAUGCGUAUAACUGUCCCUCCAACUUGAGACCGCCACGGUGACUUGCAAGCAACUCACUGCACUUAGUCAAGUACUUGACUUGUCGGUGCGUGUGUCAAGAUAGGAUUGACCACUCCAGUUCAGGAGCUGUGUACAGUCAUGUUUCAAUUUAGGAAAACCUUGGCCAGGAUAGUCCUAGUGAGGAGUCACAGGACUGUUUGAGUUGAGCA